ACUCUUUCUCCAGCAUUUGCAGGUGUUGUGGGUGCUGCUCGAGUAACAAAUCUUUACAGUCCGAUUUUCUGCACGCCUCCAACAGAUCCCUGUGCUGAUGUUGCUGCCAUCACUGCUGUAAUUCUGUGUUAUAAAAGUACUAUGCCACUGAGGAAAUGAUGCAUUUAAACUGCAGAAGAACACUCUGAAGGUGGAGGUACGAUAACUGCCAGCUUGCUACCACAGUUCGGGCUGCCCUGCUUGCCUCUCCGCGCCAUGGCUCUGGUGAUGGACCUCAUGGGACUCCAAGCAACAGAAAGUGGCACAGGAGCAAUGGACUCUUAACAACUUCACCAUCAAUACUGCUAGGAGAAGAAAUGCAGCCUGCUAGCUGUGCGGGACAAAAGAGGCAACAAAGAAGCUCUAGCAGGUGACCAUGUUACACUACUAAAGAGGCAAACAGCAGAAGUUAAAGUUGUUACCACCUACAAAGUCCAGUUUCCUACCAGGAGAUUGGAGUUCCAGCUGUAGAUGAGAUUAUGCCUCUUCAGAUGCUGAGCUACUCAGAAGCAGAUUUACCCUCGGUGAAAUAAAAAGGAAGACAGCUGAAGAAGAUUCAUAACACCACCCCCUUCUAAAACUACCCAGUAAAGGAAGGAGAAUACCAAGCAGGGAAGCACAAAGAUGAACCUGUCCUCAAUGCUUCACAUAAGGUUACCAUCCACUCCCAUUACCUCUCACUAAUUUAUUUCCAAAUAAAAUACUCUGUUUUAUAGUCUAGCUCUUCACAACGUAAACACAAAACAAAACACACCCAAAGGCAUGACUGAAAAUAGACAGGAAAAUGAUAAAUCUGACAUCAAAUAAGUUGAGGAUGCAGAGCAAGAACAUCUAACAAUAUGACUGUAAAAACUUCUAACAUCAACAUACAAAACAACAAAAACACAUUGUGCCAAAUAAGCACAGGCAGUAAAGAAGCAAAUUAAAGAGACAUCAGGCAAGAACAUUUCAAAAGUUACCAAUUGUGAGAACAUGAAACCCAUAAAGAUGUGUCCUUACUUGGGCACAAAUUCAGCAUGAAACUUAAACACGACUUUGCACUAGGUCAGUCUUACAAACACAAAUGAAUAUCUGCAUCCAAGUUCCAGAGAUGCAUUUUGAUACUACUGCAUAAACAUCAGGUGCAAACAACAAAAAGAACUAGAAAACUAAGACAUCAAUGUUCUGCUCACAAGGAAGCAAAAUUGCUUCUGACAGAUUCUUGGUGAAACCAGACCAAGUAUUCACAAAUAGACCAAUAGUCCUGUACAAAAAGAAUAAAGGCACUCACCCAGCUGGUGAAGGGGCUCCUGGCUGUGCAGCACCCCAUAGCAGCAGACCAGGUCCAAGAGAUGCUCUCCCUUCAUCCCAGAGGCUGGCCCUUAUAUGAGCCCAGGGGCUCCACCUGUGCCACCCCUCCUGGUCAGCUGGGGAGCACAGAUGCAAACAAUCUGCCUGUGCUCCCUGGGCCAGACACAGCCCUGCACCAGGUGCUCCAUCACCACUUCAAGCCCUGCCCUAACCAUUGCCCUGCAGUCAAUCAGAAAAACAACUGAAGAGCUGCUAAGUGCAUGAAUCAGACACUGAAAUUUUUUGGGGGGGUAAGUCUCAAUACUCUGUUUACCUAGUACAGUAAGAACCAAGUUCACAGUUGAGAUGUGCAAUACUAGAAGUAAAACUCAAGCUGCUUAGAAUGAGAUUGUUCUAAAAAGUUGACUGAGUGCUUUCAUAGUUUCAAAAUUAUGAAAUGUAUUAAAAAUAAGCAUGACCAUAUAGUAGGUCAAAAUGACAUGCAAACUUUUUUUUCUCAGCCAACAUAAAAUAUUCAGCAUCUAAGUGCCACCAAUUAGAUUCUAAUAUGAUUUUGCUCAUCAUCGAGUCACCUUUACUUGCUUUUGUACAUCUAGAUAUGCAAAUAUACUGACAAAAUCCUUUAUCCAUUAACGUUAAUUUGAUUAUGCUUUUAAUAAACGCACCAAACCAAAAACCUCUCCCAUCACUUUCAGUGAGAAAGUAUUUCAGCAGGCAUUUUCCAUUGCUGAAAUCUCCACAAGCACGUUCUGAAGUUUCAGCAAUGCUGCUACUGAACAAUGUGGGUAUUCAAUAAUGGUAGCAAAAUCGAUACCAGCAAAAAACUCCCUUUUUAAGUAAAUAAUUCCUUAAGACUUAAGAAAAAUGUCUCCUCUUUUCCUUCUUGUACAUUUUGAGUGCAUCUUCAUCAAUUCUCUUUCCAAGGCAAUUUCUAUAUUUGAAUAAAUUGCUUCUUUGAAGAGUUUCUUCUCAUACCACAAUUUCCCUUCUUCCUUAGUAGCUACUGAGAAUUCACAGAAGAGGUUUUCAAACAGAAGUGAAGCACAGAAAAACAUCUGAACUACAUAACAAAUCUUUUUACGCUGUCAACCACAGAAGUAUUUCCAAAUUUAUACCAGAUUUGUUUUCUUUAAUAAACAUUGUUAGAUUGAAUAGGUGUUUUAAAAAGUUAAGUAUAUAUCUUCUUACACAUGUAACAUUAAAAAAAAUUAGAUCGCACCUAGAAAAUGAGCAUAUUAUUUGGAAUAAAAAAGUCAUGCUAAAAAACUA